UACGUAGGGGGCGAGCGUUGUCCGGAGUUACUGGGCGUAAAGGGCACGCAGGCGGUCUGCUAAGUUUGGAGUGACAGUACCCGGCUCAACCGGGUGAGGCCUUCAAAGACUGGUGGACUUGAGGACUAGAGAGGGACAUAGAAUUCCGGGUGGAGUGGUGAAAUGCGUAGAUAUCCGGAGGAAUACCAAAGGCGAAGGCAGUGUCCUGGCUAGUAACUGACGCUGAGGUGCGAAAGCUGGGGGAGCGAACAGG
rnacentral:rRNA from 1 species